rnacentral:rRNA from 1 species
GACGAACGCUGGCGGCGUGCUUAACACAUGCAAGUCGAACGGAAAGGCCCUGCUUUUGUGGGGUGCUCGAGUGGCGAACGGGUGCGUAACACGUGUGUAACCUGCCCUUGACUUUGGUAUAACUUCAGGUAACUGGGGCUAAUACCGUAUAGGAUCUCCUGCUCCAUGGUGGGGGUUGGAAAGUUUCGGCGGUUGGGGAUGGAUUGGCGGCUUAUGAGCUUGUUGGUGGGGUAGUGGCAUGCCAAGGCUUUGACGGGUAGCCGGCCUGAGAGGGUGGCCGGCGACAUUGGGACUGAGAUACGGCCCAGACUCCUACGGGAGGCAGCAGUGGGGAAUAUUGCACAAUGGGCGGAAGCCUGAUGCAGCAACGCCGCGUGCGGGAUGACGGCCUUCGGGUUGUAAACCGCUUUCGCCUGUGACGAAGCGUGAGUGACGGUAAUGGGUAAAGAAGCACCGGCUAACUACGUG